rnacentral:rRNA from 1 species
GGCUUAACACAUGCAAGUCGAACGCCCCGCAAGGGGAGUGGCAGACGGGUGAGUAACGCGUGGGAACGUGCCCUAAGGUUCGGAACAACUCCGGGAAACUGGAGCUAAUACCGAAUGUGUCCGUAAGGAGAAAGAUUUAUCGCCUUAGGAUCGGCCCGCGUCAGAUUAGCUAGUUGGUGGGGUAAAAGCCUACCAAGGCGACGAUCUGUAGCUGUUCUGAGAGGAAGAUCAGCCACACUGGGACUGAGACACGGCCCAGACUCCUACGGGAGGCAGCAGUGGGGAAUCUUGGCCAAUGGGCGCAAGCCUGAUCCAGCCAUGCCGCGUGAGUUCUGAAGGCCUUAGGGUUGUAAAACUC